rnacentral:rRNA from 1 species
AACGAACGCUGGCGGCAGGCCUAAAACAUGCAAGUCGAACGCCCCGCAAGGGGAGUGGCGCACGGGUGAGUAACGCGUGGGAACGUGCCCUUCAGUACGGGACAACGUCGGGAAACUGACGCUAAUACCGUAUAAUAUCUCCGGAUCAAAGAUUUAUCGCUGAGGGAGCGGCCCGCGUCUGAUUAGCUAGUUGGUGAGGUAAUGGCUCACCAAGGCUACGAUCAGUAGCCGGUCUGAGAGGAUGAUCUGCCACACUGGGAAUGAGACACGGCCCAGACUCCUACUGGUGGCAGCAGUUAGGAAUAUUGGACAAUGGGGGAAACCCUGAUCCAGCCAUGCCGCGUGUGUGAUGAAGGCCCUAGGGUUGUAAAGCACUUUCGUUGGGGAUGAUAAUGACUGUACCCAAAGAAGAAGCCACGGCUAAAUUCGUGCCAGCCGCCGCAGUAA